GAGAGACUCAACAGAGAACUGAACUGAUCUGACUGAACAUGGACAGAUGCUUUAUACUGAUACUCAUUGUGGGAACAGGUUUGGUGGCUGGAGACAACAUUGAUCCAGAUAAAGGGACAGAAAAAACUUCUAAAGAAACAGAAACUGUCAAGCUGAGCUGCUCAUAUAGUUCAAGUAGUGACUAUGUUGUGCUUUACUGGUACAGACAGUAUCCCAACAGAGAACCACAAUAUUUAUUACUCAAAGGUGCUCGAUCGCGUGCUGAUGAACACACCUCUGAUGGUCGAUUUAAUUCAGCUACAACACGCACAUCCACAGAACUCACUAUUACUGAUGCACGUCUGUCAGAUUCAGCUCUCUAUUAUUGUGCUCUAAGAGUAGUAGCCCAGUAAUACAAAACAUGAAACUUGUCGUACAAAAACCUGAAGCUCUUCUCACUUUGAAAAUAUCUAGUGAAAACCACAAUCAAAACCACAAUCUCUCCAGCUCUUAAUGUAAUAAAAUAUGUGGUAACACCUGGGUAGGACUGAAUUAGACCCGUUAUAAAACUUCAAAGAAACAUUAAAAGUAUGUUCUGGAUAUUAAUUUCCAGCUUCAGUGUAUGAAUAUUAAAUUUCAACAUUAAUAACUACAUUUUAAUCAUUAGAAUUAUUUUUCCAAGAAAAUUCUUAAACACCGAGCUUCUUCACACGUACAAACCUUGCGAUGCAGGUUUUUCUCGGGGAUGAAUCCACGAGACUGGAAGAGUUCUGGAGAACAUCCACGCUGUGUAUGGAUGCACAUUAAGAAAGGUGGUCUUCUGGAGUAUUUCAACUUGGA